rnacentral:lncRNA from 1 species
AGCGGAGUGGGGGUGACAUUUGGGGGGCUGUGACACCCCCAGGGUGACGUUUGGGGUGUCCAGGGGUGACACUCGGUGUCCCGGGGGUGGUGACGAUCGCCGGUCCUGGGGUCACCAAGGCAGUGACAAUCGGUGUCCUCAGGGAGGUGACAAUCACCGGUCCCGGUGUCCCCGGUGAGGUGACAAUCGGUGUCCCCGGUGAGGUGACAAUCGCCGUUCCCGGUGUCCCCGGUGAGGUGACAAUCACUGUCCCCGGUGAGGUGACAAUCGCCGUUCCCGCUGUCCCCGCGGGGUCCCCACCACCAGAGCUGCAGCCGGAUGUCCCCGCCCGGGGCUGGCCGGUUGUCACCGUCACCGUCACCGUCACCG